GUACUGAUGAAGAGUCCCAAACUAGGGCGAAACAGCUGGCUGUCCAGUAC
rnacentral:hammerhead_ribozyme from 1 species